rnacentral:tRNA from 1 species
GCGGGCAUCGUAUAAUGGCUAUUACCUCAGCCUUCCAAGCUGAUGAUGCGGGUUCGAUUCCCGC